ACCUAUUAUGCCUUUGUGCUUUUUCCCUUUCUUUUAGUGCGUUAUAUAUUUUUUUGUGCAUGUAAAAGGUCUGCAAAGUUACAAAGCCCAAAGUCCACCCCAAAGGGAAUUACUCUCCUCCACAGAAACACUGCUCUCGAACUGCCUGAAAAGCCUCGCUUGAAGCCCUGCCUUUUUUUUCCGUAACGUGGUGAUGUCACCAAGUAACACACUUUGCCUAACGGCUAGUUUGGCACACCCUCAAA